GCGGGAAGAGCUCAAAUUUUGAAUCUGGCGGUCUUUCGGCCGUCCGAGUUGUAAUCUAGAGAAGCGUUUUCCGCGCUGGACCGUGUACAAGUCUCCUGGAAGGGAGCGUCAUAGAGGGUGAGAAUCCCGUCUUUGACACGGACUGCCAGUGCUAUGUGAUGCGCUCUCGACGAGUCGAGUUGUUUGGGAAUGCAGCUCAAAUUGGGUGGUAAAUUCCAUCUAAAGCUAAAUACAGGCGAGAGACCGAUAGCGAACAAGUACCGUGAGGGAAAGAUGAAAAGAACUUUGGAAAGAGAGUUAAACAGUACGUGAAAUUGCUGAAAGGGAAACGCUUGAUGUCAGUCGCGUUGGCCGGGGAUCAACCUUGCUUUUUCGCUGGGUGUAUUUCCUGGUCGACGGGUCAGCAUCAGUUUCGGUCGUCAUACAAGGGCGGAGGGAACGUGGCACUCUUCGGGGUGUGUUAUAGCCUUUCGUCGUAUGUGAUGGUUGGGACUGAGGAACUCAGCACGGCUCCGCUUGUGCUUAGGAUGCUGGCAUAAUGGCCUUAAGCGACCCGUCUUGAAACACGGACCAAGGAGUCUAACAUGCCUGCGAGUGUUUGGGUGGUAAACUCGAGCGCGAAAUGAAAGUGAAAGUUGAGACCUCUGUCGUGGAGGGCAUCGACGCCCGGACCUGAGUCUUUGACGACGGAUCUGCGGUAGAGCAUGUAUGUUGGGACCCGAAAGAUGGUGAACUAUGCCUGAAUAGGGUGAAGCCAGAGGAAACUCUGGUGGAGGCUCGUAGCGAUUCUGACGUGCAAAUCGAUCGUCGAAUUUG
rnacentral:rRNA from 1 species